CCUACGGGGGGCUGCAGUGGGGAAUAUUGGACAAUGGGGGCAACCCUGAUCCAGCCAUGCCGCGUGUGUGAAGAAGGCCCUCGGGUUGUAAAGCACUUUCAGUGAGGAAGAACGCCUGGUGGUUAAUAUCCAUCAGGAAAGACAUCACUCACAGAAGAAGCACCGGCUAACUCCGUGCCAGCAGCCGCGGUAAUACGGAGGGUGCGAGCGUUAAUCGGAAUUACUGGGCGUAAAGCGCGCGUAGGUGGCUUGAUAAGCCGGUUGUGAAAGCCCCGGGCUCAACCUGGGAACGGCAUCCGGAACUGUCAAGCUAGAGUGCAGGAGAGGAAGGUAGAAUUCCAGGUGUAGCGGUGAAAUGCGUAGAGAUCGGGAGGAAUACCAGUGGCGAAGGCGGCCUUCUGGACUGACACUGACACUGAGGUGCGAAAGCGUGGGUAGCAAACAGGAUUAGAUACCCGAGUAGUC
rnacentral:rRNA from 1 species